ensembl:lncRNA
GUUCUUUCUAAUCCUCAAAACAUGCUCUGAAGGAUGAAUCAUUUUUUUGUUUCAGAAUUAAGUAGCUUGAGAAUAUAUAAUGGUAAUGGAUUUCUACUUAGUAAUACAGUAUUUCUGAACAUCAAUUAAAUGUAUAUAGUCUUCUUUAUAAACAUCUUUUCUUAUUAAAGAUUUGGAGCAUCAUCUGUAGGAAAAAUGAUAUUUUUAAGUAUUUUCAUUCCCAGGUUUUAUUUCUAGAAUAUAGAAUGAUGAAAUUAACAGUGUAAUAACACAUAUUUUAAUGUAAAUAUCUGUGGAAUUUUAAGUUUAAAAAUUACAUAAAUAUAAAAUUGAGAUUUUUAAUUCAUAUUCUUGUCUGGUUUUUUUAGUUUUCUAUGUGUGCAUGUGUGUAUGUGGCACUGGAAGUGGAACUCAGGAUCUUUGCACUCAGCUAAAUUUCCAACACUUAUUUCAUAUUUAAAAAAUAUUUUAGGACAGAGUCUCUCUAAUUCACUAAAUUGCCCAGGCUCAGCUUCAAUCUGCCAUGCUCCUGCCUCAGCCUCCAAGAGAGUGCUGAGAUUACAGGGGUGUGCCACUUCACUCAUCUUUAUUUUUUCUUUUAAAUCUCAUUAAAAUUACUAUGAUUUUCUUAAAAACUUAAUCCAAUGUUUUAGUUUUGAAAAGACAAAUAAAAUGUAGCAUUAAAAUUGUAUUUUACCUAUGUAGUUCUCUUAGAAUACUACUGCAUGAUCAUCCAGGUUAUAUUUGUUUAUUACCACUUAUCUACAUGUCUUUAGGCAACUUAAAUCAGUUGUAUUGUUUAUACAGUAAAACAAAAGCCAAUCUCAUGGUGUUAUCUGGGUAUUGAUGAUUCUUGUAAUGGAACUUGGGAAUCUACAUAUGAUAUAUAUGUAUAAAAUCACUGAGUAGAAGUUUCAAAAGCUUUAGAAGCAAGAUGUAGCUAUUUCUUUUACUUUUGUGUGCAUCUAUUUAAUGAUACUAAAUCUGAACUUAAAAUACAAUUUAAAACAUUGUAGAAAGUCCAGGUGUUUUCAAUUAGCCAAGCUUUAUUUAUCUUGAAACCAACCAUGACAUUCCAUUCAACCAGUGAAAAAUGUAGUCAUCAAGCGUGUAUUAAAAAGAUCUAUAAUAUUUAGAAACUAGCAAUCAAAGAAUCAAAUUUAGAAAAUGUUGCAUGCAUGUGUCCCAUGAAUUAAGGGUAAAAUAAUAUGCAAUAUUUGAAAUUGUGAUAAAGGGAACUGCUAUUGCCAGAAUACUUUCUUAGGAAAUCUAGUCAUCUGCUGUAUAUGAUUAGGGAAAUUGAUAUUUUUAAGUGACUUGCCAUGGUUUGAGAAGAAAGACACUGUUGCAUAUAAAAACAUCAGUUCUUUGGCAUCAUUUUCAUAAAUAAAAUCAGCAUAACUAUUUCUUUUUCAAGAUAGGUAAAAUGAUAGUUAUAUUUUAAUUGCAGUAUUGUAUGCUACAUUUAGAGUGACAUGACCAAAAUAUAUAAUCCUGUAGAUUAUCAUAUAUACAACCUUACAACAAUCUGACUGAGAUAGGACUCUUUCUAGGCCAAAUCAUGGAAAAGCAAAGUUGAUGUUCAGCAUCCCCGUUAAUUACUAGGUCAUUUUAUUCACUCAAAGACUCUCUAGGCAACUUUCUUGGGUAUUGUUCUUGAUCUGAAGUCUCCUGAAUGAUCUUCUGAAAAUAAAGUGUAUUUUGUUAUAACCAUACACUUCAGCCACACUACUGAUCAUAUAGUCCCUGAGAUUUAUCAUCACAUUUCACCUCUCAUCAUUGUCCUUUAAGUAUCAAAAAAAUUGUAGUAUUUGUAAACAGAGCCUUUAUAGACAGCAUUCAUUGAUAGAACUUUUGUAUGUGACAGGUUUUAACUCUGAUCUGAGCAAAGGUACUUAAUCUCCAUGCUGGUUUCUUCUUUAAAAAGAAUGUACUAAGAGGGCUUUCAGAAGGAAUAAAUAAAACAACCUAUAUGCAACCCUUAAAGUAAACUUGGAAUCAAUUUCAGAAAAAUCUUUCUUAAAUGAUAAUUGUUAUGAGGAUAAUAGGUAUUAGUAUUUAUUAUCUUUUAGGAUUUUUUUUCCCAUUAUAUGUUCUCUAACUUUCAGUUUUUAAUCAAGGUGCAUCUUAAAUUCAGGUUACUCAAUGGAGUUUCUUUUUUGUAUAAUUAAUGUUUCUUUCCUUCCUUCCAAGGUUAAUGAUAUAUAGAAUAUACCGACAAUAGGAUUCUUAAAUGUAGUAGAUCAAAUUAGAGGGAAAAUCUUAUAAUCUUUAAAAAUGUCUAUCAUUUUAGGAAGGUCUUCGAAAUCUAAUAUAAAACUUUGGAUUUCUGAAAUUUGGGAGGUAAUGUUGGAGACAGGCACACACAUGUUACCUUUUAUGUAUUUUCUGUUUUCUUUUGCAUGUGAAUUUUUUUGUAGAAUGUCAUCAUUAAUAAGCACAAUUGUUCAUUAGUUGCUUCCUCUUAUCAAGUGAAGUAAAAAAGUAUCUUUUUAAAAUUUUCAUGAUGUCUAGUGAUUAAUGACUGUGUGCACCAAUUGUACGUACUUGUUUUCAGAUCUUAUGUUUGAAAAACAAAGUUUAAAAAUCCUUACACAUAAAUAUCUAAAAUUUUAUGUAUAUAUGUUGCAUGUGAUAUACCUUUAUAGCUUAUAAAAUUGUCUUAUCUAAUUUUUAAGGAAAUUAAUUCUGAUUAUCGUACAUAUACAUUAUCCAAUGAACAUCCGAGGGCAUUUGUUGAAACAUGAAGAUGGCUUAAAUAUCUCGCUUUAGGGGAAAUAGGAAACAAGGGACAAUAAUGUCAGUCAUGUUAUGAAAAAUUUAAGACAUCAAAUAUUACUCAGGUGUUAAAAAAGCAACAAUUCUAUACAUUUUUGUAGCCCACAGAAUAAAGUAACUCAUUUAAUCAAUAUCUACUUAAACUUUACAUAAUAUUUGAUUUAUAGUGCUAUUGGUAUUUUUUGUUAGAUUUUAUUGACAAUUUGUGUUGAGAAUGCAGAUAUUAGGGAAACAGGUCAAGUAAUUUUUAAGUAAAAAUAUGUCCAUUCUGCAACAUUCAAUUGCAAAAUACCAUAGCUCUUGCUAAUAUAUCUCUGCAAAAUGAAAACUCAUUAUUUUACAUUUAAUAAAAGGGAACAUUAAUUAUUCCUGCUUGUUUUCAUAAUAUGUUUUAGAACUUAUAAGCUAAAUAAUUUCAUAAAAAUCUUGUGUUGAUAUUGCUUGACCAGUUAAAUGUAUUGGUUUACAUUUGAAUGUGCUUUUAGUUUAUUGAUAUCAAUUAUGUUUAAUUUUAAGGUAAACAAUAACCUAUGGUAUAUGGACUUAAAAAUGUUUUCUGAGAAGCAUGGAUUUAGACAUGUCCAGCCAACAUGGGAUGGAUACUUUUGGGUUCUCCAUAGCAACAAUAUGAAGAAGAAAGAGAAAGAGUGAGACUGACAACAAGAAGACACAUAGACACUGGAAGUUCAUCCUUAAGAAGACAAUCUAGAUUGACAAUGUGCUGAUCUCCAAAUGAAGCUCCUGGGCAACAAUGAUGCAGUUCUGCAUACCACACUUUGAGUAGCAAGGUAAUAAAAGUUGCAGAAAAUGUUGGACAUUUUCACUAAAUCAUGAAAUAAAAAAGGUGUUCUUAAUAGAUUGCUAUUUAAUGUCAUUCAAGAUCUACAAAACAUCAUUUUUGCAUGACUACUGCAAAAGGACUACUGUAAAGAAACCAGUUCCUUUUGCAAGAGGACAAUUUGGACCCUGUUUCAGAAAGCAGUGAGUUCACAGAACUUAACAGAACACUUUCCAAGAUGGGGAGUUGUUGGGAACCUAUUCAGUGAUGGUGAACAUAUGGCAUGCAUGCAGGAGUGGGCUGUUUCUAUCAUUGAAAGCUCUAAAAAGUUCUCUGCUAUGGAUCCUCAUGCUGAUGAAAAGGGGCCCAUGACAAAGGACAGCAACAUUGGGAACGUGAGGAAAGAAAACAAGCACAAACAGUAUUAUCUAAACAUUUCUCUAGAAG